rnacentral:rRNA from 1 species
ACGCUGGCGGCAGGCCUAACACAUGCAAGUCGAGCGGUAGGGAGAAGCUUGCUUCUCUUGAGAGCGGCGGACGGGUGAGUAAUGCCUAGGAGUCUGCCUGGUAGUGGGGGAUAACGUUCGGAAACGGACGCUAAUACCGCAUACGUCCUACGGGAGAAAGCAGGGGACCUUCGGGCCUUGCGCUAUCAGAUGAGCCUAGGUCGGAUUAGCUAGUUGGUGGGGUAAUGGCUCACCAAGGCGACGAUCCGUAACUGGUCUGAGAGGAUGAUCAGUCACACUGGAACUGAGACACGGUCCAGACUCCUACGGGAGGCAGCAGUGGGGAAUAUUGGACAAUGGGCGAAAGCCUGAUCCAGCCAUGCCGCGUGUGUGAAGAAGGUCUUCGGAUUGUAAAGCACUUUAAGUUGGGAGGAAGGGUUGUAGAUUAAUACUCUGCAAUUUUGACGUUACCGACAGAAUAAGCACCGGCUAACUCUGUGCCAGCAGCCGCGGUAAUACAGAGGGUGCAAGCGUUAAUCGGAAUUACUGGGCGUAAAGCGCGCGUAGGUGGUUAGUUAAGUUGGAUGUGAAAUCCCCGGGCUCAACCUGGGAACUGCAUUCAAAACUGACUGACUAGAGUAUGGUAGAGGGUGGUGGAAUUUCCUGUGUAGCGGUGAAAUGCGUAGAUAUAGGAAGGAACACCAGUGGCGAAGGCGACCACCUGGACUGAUACUGACACUGAGGUGCGAAAGCGUGGGGAGCAAAC